GAUGAACGCUGGCGGCGUGCCUAAUACAUGCAAGUCGAGCGAACAGACGAGGAGCUUGCUCCUCUGACGUUAGCGGCGGACGGGUGAGUAACACGUGGAUAACCUACCUAUAAGACUGGGAUAACUUCGGGAAACCGGAGCUAAUACCGGAUAAUAUAUUGAACCGCAUGGUUCAAUAGUGAAAGACGGUUUUGCUGUCACUUAUAGAUGGAUCCGCGCCGCAUUAGCUAGUUGGUAAGGUAACGGCUUACCAAGGCGACGAUGCGUAGCCGACCUGAGAGGGUGAUCGGCCACACUGGAACUGAGACACGGUCCAGACUCCUACGGGAGGCAGCAGUAGGGAAUCUUCCGCAAUGGGCGAAAACCUGACGGAGCAACGCCGCGUGAGUGAUGAAGGUCUUCGGAUCGUGAAACUCUGUUAUUAGGGAAGAACAAAUGUGUAAGUAACUAUGCACGUCUUGACGGUACCUAAUCAGAAAGCCACGGCUAACUACGUG
rnacentral:rRNA from 1 species